rnacentral:rRNA from 1 species
CAGUAGCCACGGGAAUACGAAGGGGGCUAGCGUUGUUCGGAUUUACUGGGCGUAAAGCGCACGUAGGCGGACUUUUAAGUCAGGGGUGAAAUCCCGGGGCUCAACCCCGGAACUGCCUUUGAUACUGGAAGUCUUGAGUAUGGUAGAGGUGAGUGGAAUUCCGAGUGUAGAGGUGAAAUUCGUAGAUAUUCGGAGGAACACCAGUGGCGAAGGCGGCUCACUGGACCAUUACUGACGCUGAGGUGAGAAAGCGUGGGGAGCAAACAGGAUUAGAUACCCCCGUAGUCCCUGUCUCUUAUAC